UCUGGUGACAAUAACUACGAGGAAACACCUGUACCCAUACCGAACACAGAAGUUAAGCUCGUACAUGCCGACAAUACUUGUGGGUUACCCUGCUGGUAAGAUAGGAAGUUGCCAGGC
rnacentral:rRNA from 1 species